rnacentral:rRNA from 1 species
AUGGGCGCAGCCUGAUCCAGCCAUGCCGCGUGAGUGAUGACGGCCCUAGGGUUGUAAAGCUCUUUCGCCAGGGACGAUAAUGACGGUACCUGGAUAAGAAGCCCCGGCUAACUUCGUGCCAGCAGCCGCGGUAAUA